CCAUUUGUUUGGUUGUUAGCCUUGAUGUUUGCCCGCAGGACAGACUGAUGGGGGGGGGGCUGGCAAGCGAGGCAGCGGACCAUCACUGGAGCAUCCGAGGUUUAUUCCUGGCUCCCUUUCAUGCUUCCUGGAUGACCCAAGGCACAUUGCUGAGCUCUCUCUGCGGGUCGGGCACAGCUGAGCUUGAACCGUGCCAGUAUAAUGGCAGUUCAGAUGCCAUUAUAUACCAGGCAGGAAUUGCAGAACUGGAGGAGGCGGGAGAAAUAAGAAUGUCAGGGCUGGAUCAGACACAGUCCAGUACGACAUCUCCGAGAGCAGCCAAGGUGGAAGUGAGCAACCACUGAGACGGUCCUUGGAAAUCAGAGACGUUCUUGCAUGUGGAAAACAGAAUCCUUCUGUCUCUGAACUGAGAUGGCGUUGAUAAUUCUGCCAGGAGGCUCCGGGUUCAAGGGCAUGGAGACAUCUGAAACCCUGGGAAACCACGGCUAAUCACUGCAGAUGGUACUGGGCUGGAUAAACCAAUGGUCUGACUCAGUAUAGGGCAUCUGCCUACCUUCCUCUACUGCAAAGGGUGUGGCUCAGUCUGUUUUUGUAUGGGACAUUAUUGCAGUCAAACCAACAAUUCAUCUUUUGCCAGCUAGACCCUGGAAGGGGCUGGGGCUCACAGAGCUUUCCUGUAAAAAUUCCUAGAGAGAACUCUGUGAGAUCACUUCCUUUGUCUACCUUGGCAGGAAGCUGCCUGCCUGAGCAGCCUCCUUUUUCUUCAUCGUGCUUCCUGGCUCCUGCACAUGAAUGUCUGGGUUUUGCAGCUCAGACUUACAUUUUCUGCUUUUGUAACUUAGUAGUUUUAAAACUAUCUUCAUUUUGCUACCGUAAUUGCUGCUUCAAGACCUAGGUUAUGUAGCCCAUCUGGAAGAAGGAAAGCUCUGGUCCUCAGCCUCUGCUGCCUUGCCGGAUAUCUUCAGGAGAAGUAAAGGCUAAG